UACGAAGGGGGCUAGCGUUGCUCGGAAUCACUGGGCGUAAAGGGCGCGUAGGCGGUCGAUCAAGUCAGAGGUGAAAGCCCAAGGCUCAACCUUGGAAUUGCCUUUGAUACUGUUCGGCUAGAGACCGGAAGAGGUAAGUGGAACUGCGAGUGUAGAGGUGAAAUUCGUAGAUAUUCGCAAGAACACCAGUGGCGAAGGCGGCUUACUGGUCCGGUUCUGACGCUGAGGUGCGAAAGCGUGGGGAGCAAACAGG
rnacentral:rRNA from 1 species